UCAGUCAUGUAUCCAUGUAUUCAGGCUCUUCGAUAUCAGCCUUUAGAGCACAAAAUAACAAAGGAACUCCGAAGGACAGUGUUAGAGAAUGGGUUGAUAGCGCCUGUUACCACGAACUUACUGCAGAACAUAACAAAGUCCCACGGGUUUGUGCCACAGAACUGGGAGCUAAUUGCAAAAAUGAUACCGAUUCUCAUGCAACAUAUUAUUCUCCUGAUGGAAUGGAAGCGCAGUGCAGAGGAAGAGACAGGAUCCCAGAGCCAGAAGCAGGUGGGGUGGCUCUUUCAUCAUCUCCUCUGCCUGUUUCCCACAACCAUGAGAAAGCGAUGCCUCCUCCUCCUCCCUGGCGCAGUGAAACAGUGGAAGCGGCAGCAAGCAAGGUCGCUUCCCCCCUCCUUUCCCCCAUUCCUGCACGGAGCAGAAGUUGCUCAGUUAUCUUACUCCAAGGUUAGCCCGCURGCAGCAGCUGAGCRGUCCCGAGGCAGGGGGGUGGCGAAAUGUUUGAGUCUCUGGGCAUUUUGCAAACUGUGUAAUUUGUAAUGGUGAUUCACUGUUUUUGAAUGYUUUCAYAKGUAAUUAAUAUUGUUUCUGUUAGCAUAAGUUGCAGGACUGAUUAACCGACAAGAAGGAGGCUGCUUGAAGGAAGUAGCUGAUCCUUGGCGUUACGCUUUUCUCAGUGAUCUUUAUAUUUCGUAAAACAUCACCAUGCUCCUUACUUUAUAAUGCUUAUCAGGUCUCCUACAACGUUGCCUGGUCCUCUGAUGGAAGGAAAUCAGCAUGCUGACAGCCUCGCCGGGGUGGCCACCCUUCCAGACACAUUUCAGCAAGCGUGGUUGUCUCACGUCUCCCUUCACCAGAGUGCUUAUACUUUGUGCCAGAUGCUACUUUAUAUAGGUUUGCAGAUGGCUGUCACUAACAUUCACUCUUUUCGGUACUCUUGGACCUAUAGUCUGCAGUACAACAAAUAACUGAACGUUGCUUUAUAUUACAUAUUCACAGUCAUAGUGUGAUGCCUGAUGUCACUUUCUAGCUGCCUUUGCAAUGCUAGAGGAGCAGACCUGUAAGCUAGUUCACAGGUUAAACACGAAGC